rnacentral:lncRNA from 1 species
GUGUUCCGAGGGCAGUCACUAAAGGCUGGCUGAAGGAGUGAUGCAAACUUUUGAUGGGUGGAAAGCAUACAUUUUAGUGAAGAGGGAAGAAAACACAACCAAGUUCUCCAAAAGCCCAGUAGAAUAAACACAAGCUGCCACUUGGAAAACAAUUCUGAAGAAAAGCCCAUCUGGGGAGAAAAAGUGAGGCAAUCCAAAAAGCCGCCAAGUGACCACAUUUCUGGAGUAAGUUUUUACAGUUCACAGAGACCAUGACUCUUUUCUCCCCUUGGCAUGAUAUAUGAUGAGCAUGGUGUCAAACAGCUCGUGGUGACAUUGCCUUUGCUCUUUGGGCUUGUGGCAGGGAAUGGGUGAAAAAGGCAAAUUCAACCUUUCUGUGGCAGACCUUGAUUGGAAACAACGUGUGAACAUUUUACCUGGUGAUGAGCCCUGAGUUUUACAUCAGCCAACAGCCAUGGCAGCAGAUGACAGAAAAAAACGGAAUCUUUUCCAGACUUGGAGAAAGAUAAAUCUGAAAAGGAGUUUUUCCCUAUAGACCAGCUCUGCUUAGGAGAUACUCACUGUGAGUUGUCAGAUCAGGGAACUUUGAGGUAAGCAUUAAUGAGAAUUGCACUAACUUUCCCUGAGGGACCAAGAAACUGGGAUUCUCUAGCCAACAUUUUGUCCUGAGAACGAUUGCUCACCCAGCUCCAUGGAGGAUUUUCCCUUCAGCCCAUCCCUCAGGGCUUACCCUGUGCACAGUUUCAGCUACUACUGGAAAAUGACUCAAAGAAUUAAAGUGUUGAAAUAGAUGCCCCUAACUCCUUUGCUAGAAUAAACAAGGAUUGUGGGUAGAAUGUAAAUUAUUAAAAUGCAUUAACUUUCUCCUGGACAAGUCUGGUGCUAAUCACCUUUGCCGCGAGGAAAGAUAAAUGGGUUGUGCGUGUUGCAGGCUGAACUGGCACCUGACGAAAUCGUGAAGUAGCAAAGUUUGUCUUGAUGAUUCCUGUUCCAGAACAUCUCCUAUUCCCUUUCUGGAGUCCUUUUGUUGUCCACCAUUUCCCAUUCCUGUGCCUUCCUGUUGCACACCUGAUACCUCCUAUUAGCUUUAUAUGCCUGUCUCCCCUCCAAGCGCAGCUGUCCCCUGGCCCUCAUCAAGGCUCACUUCUCCUCUGUGCCACUAUGUCAAUGAGAUUUCCUGAUGGAUAGGGUGAUCUAUAAUUUAGUAUCCAAAAUUGGACACGUUUGAGAGUAAAAGAGAGUUAAUAAUAAUCAUCAUAGUCUGUUUGGGCUGCUGUAAUAAAAUAGUAUGGACUGGGUAGCUUAUAAGUAACAGACAUGUCUUUCUUACAGUUCUGGGGCCUGGGAAGUCCAAGAUCAAGAUGCUGGCAGAUUCAGUGUCUGGUGAGGGCCUGCUUUCUGAUUCAUAGAUGGUGCCUUCUCACUGUGUCCUCACAUGGUGGAAGGAGCAAACAAGCCUCUUUGGGCCUCUUUUAUAAGGAAACGAUCCCAUUCAUGAGGGUGGAACCUUGCAAAAUGCCCCACCUUCUAAUACUAUCACCUUGGGAGCUAGAAUUUCAACCUAUGAAUUUUUAGGGGGACAUAAACUUCACAUGAUAUCAAUCAUUAUACCUACAUGACAACAUUUUAGUCCACCCCCAAGAGUAUAUUUGUAUUUCCACAGGGUCUUCUAAUGAUAUUUUGUCUUGACUCCGAAAGGGACCCUUAAGGUUGAAGAUUCUGAUAUUCUGACAUAGUAGCAGGUGAGCUCAACAAUUUGGGGGCAGGUAAGGCUUUUGUAGCAAAUCAGAGCAAACCAUGUAAGUGUCUAGGGAGUCCCAUUUAGAAAUAAAUAAAUCUAACACCUACCUUUGGAAACUUUUAGUUUAAUUUGGAAAGUCAGGACCAACAGGGAUGAAAAGUGUUUGAGACAGGUUUAGAGAAAAAAGUGAUGGGUGUCACUUUUUAAUUAAAACAAAUUUUAAACCUCCAUCCUCUUCACCCCUACAACAACAACAACAACAAAAUACUAAACUAUACUAUUUAUGGAGGUGGGAACUUACCUUCUAUGGGCUGGCAAAAGUAAGUAGAUUGACCAAAAAAUAGCAAGGAUUAUUAAUAAAUGCUAUGAGAGAAACAAACUAAGGGUGAAGACAACCAAGUAGGGCUACUUCAGGUACAGUCAAGAAAAGCCUCUCAGACAAGCUGGCAUUAGUCUUAGACCUGAAGUAUGAGGAUGGCCCAGCCAUGUGAAGAAGCAGGGGACAGCACCCAGGACAAGAAGGCAACACAUGCAAAGGCUGUGAUUCCUGGGGUGAGCUUGAGGUGCCUGGAGGAUGGUCAGGGAAAGAUAGUGUGGAACAAAGUAAAUUGGAAAGGCAGGCUGGAACCCUGAAAGUCUCCAUAGAGUCUGGAUUUUAUUCUAAGUGUAAUGAGGAUCACUUGAAGUUUAUGAAAUUUACAUAUGCUGAAAUGUACAGAGCUUGAGUGUGCCAUUCUACCAGGAGUGAUAAGUCCAUAUGCCCUACAACAAAUUCCCUAGUCACAACAUAGAAUAUUCCCAUCAACCCAGGAAGUUCCCUUAUGCCUUUUUCCAAUCAAUUACCACCCCCAAUAGGCAAUCACUCUUCUGAUUUCCAUCACCAUAUAUAUGUUUUGCCUAUUCUUAACUUCAUAUAAAUAAAAUCAUACACUAUGUAUUGUUUUGUGUCUCGCUUUCCCUCAGCAUAGUGUUUUUGAGAUUCAUCCAAGUUGUUCAUUCCUUUGUAUUGCUAAGUAACAUUCUAUUGUAUAAAUGUUCAUAAUUGGCUUAUCCAUUCUGUUGAAGGGCUUCCCCCAGCCCCCAGGUUUUGGCCAUUAUAAAUAAAGCUGCUAUAAACAUUUCUAUAUAAGUCUUUUUGAGGACUUCUCCUAGGUAAAUAACUAGGAGUGGAAUUGCUGGAUCACAGACUAGGUAUAUUAUUAUUUUCUUUUAUGUUUUGAAUUAAUUAGCUUUAUUGUGGUAUAAUUUACAUACAAUAAAAUUCACCCUAUUUUAAGUAAAUUAUUUGAUGAGUUUUGACAAAUACAUGCAGUGUGUAACCAUCACCACCAUCAUAAUAUAGAACUUUUACAUCAUUCCCCAAAUUUUCUCAUGCCUCUUUGCAAUCAAUGUCCUUCCCCUACUCAUUGUCCUUGGCAGUCAUUGAUUUGCUCUCUGUCAUCACAGUUUUACAUUUCCUAGACUUUCAUAUAUUAAUGAAAUCAUAUGUUAUACUGUCUUUUAUGUCUCACUUCUUUUACUUAUAAUGCUUUUGAUAUUUAUCCAUAUUGAUACAUGUAUUACUAGUUCACUCCUUUAAAUUGCUGAGUAGUAUUCCAUUGUAUGGAUAUGAUACCAUUUGUUCAUCCAUUCAUUCAUCAGUUGAUACACAUUUAGGAUGUUUUCAGUUUGGGGCUGUUAUGAAAAAAGUUGCUAUAAAUAUUUAAAUAUGAUUUUUAAGAGUGAAAUUGCUUAGUUAUGUGCUAAGUAUAUGUUAACUUAUAUGAAAGUGAAAAAUAUAUUCCAAUGUAGCUGUUCAUUUUACAUUUCCACUAGCAAUGCCAGAGAGUUCCAGGGGCCUCACAACCUUCUUAAAUUUUGACAAUUCUAGGCCGGGCACAGUGGCUUAUGCCUGUAAUCACAGCAGUUUGUGGGAGGCCAAGGAGGGAGGAUUGUUUGAGCCUAGGAGUUUGAGACUAGCCUGAGCAACAUAGUGAGACCCCAUCUCUACUAAAAAUAUAAAAUAAAAUAAAAUAAAAUUUGACCAUUCUAGUUAGUGUGUAGCAGAAUGUUAUUUGAUUUGGCUUUUGACAAUUUGAUUAUGGUUUCUCUAGGUGUCAGUCUCUUUGGCUUUAUCUUACUUGGAGUUUGUUGAGCUUCUUGGAUAUGUAGGUUAAUGUCAUUGUUGGUUUUUUUUUUUCGUCAAAUGGAAAAUUUGGUGAUUAUUUCUCCAAAUACUCUUUCUACCCCUUACCUACCUUGUCCCCACUCCCAUUUGGCAUCUCUUGGUAUGCUUGGUGUUAUUUCAUGGGUCUCUGAUGUUCUGUUGAUUUUCCUCCAUUUUCUUCCCUUUUUAUUCUUCAGACUGAGUCAUUUCAAUUGACCUAUCAAGAUGCUAAUUAAUAUUUGCAAAUUCUUUCUUUAGCCAGUUCACAUAUGUGGUAGAGCCCCUCUGGUGGAUUUUCGCUUCAGCUAUUAUGCUUUUCUACUCCAGAACUUGUAUUUGGUUCUUUUACAUAAUUUCUAUCUCCUUAGUGAUAGUCUCUAUUUGGUGAGCUAUUAGUCUCAUAAUUUCCUUUAGUUUUUUGGACAUGGCAUAUUUUAGUUCUUUAAAGACAUUUAAAAUAACUGAUUUAAAUUAUUUGUCUAGUAAGUCUAAUGUCUGUGCUUUUUCAGACAGUUUCUAUUGUUUGCUUUUUUUCCCUGUAUAUGGGUCAUAUUUUCUUAUUUCUUUACAUAUUUCAUAAUUUUUUGAAAACUGUUAUUUUAAAUAACAUAAUGCUGCAAAUCUGGAAGUCAGUUUCUCUCCCCUUUCUAGGAUUUUUUGUUGUUGUUGCUGCUUUCUGUUGUAGUUAUUGUUUGUUUAAUGAACUUUACUGACCUAAUUCUAUCAAAUCUGCAUUCUUUGUUGAGGGUGGCCACUGAAGUCACAGCUUAAUUAGCUUACUGGACAGCUAAUGACUGUGCAAAUAUUGUCUUAAGUGCCUAGAACAAAUAAGUCACCCAGUUUUUGCAAAGCAGCUAUGUGUGAAUACAGGAGCAUUCUCUGAACACUUAGCAAGAGAGUUGACAGCUCCACCUCAGCCCUCAAUUUUCUCUUUCAUGGAGCCUCAUGGUCAGCCAGAAGUGAGAGCUUAGGGCCUUCUCAGGCCUUUCCUGUCACUGUCCCAUGCACAUGGCUUCUUAGAUAUUCAGGAAUAUGUCAGAGCUUUUCAGAGCCCCUAUGGACAUCUCAUUCCUCAGAUUUUCCCUUUAGGCUCUUUGGUUAAUCAAUUGUUUGCCCAAGCUUUAUCCAGUACCUCAGACAGCCAUGAUGAUAAGCAGCUGCCAGUAACUAUCUCUGACAAAUGCCCCCAGGGAGGCACUGGCUGCGCUCUGACUCAGGUAAAUAAAUACAGCCUUGCUAUUGAAGUCUUCCAGGGAACCACCAGACAGGUCAAAUGACAAUUCUCUGGGAGUGGGAUUUUAAAGGAGCUCUAACCCUACCUAUUCUGCCCCUUCCAGUGGCUGCCAGGUUGCUGGUUUUCACUGUGAUGUGGGGCUGUUAGUUUUCAAGGCUAAAGUGAAGCUGGAGAAUGGGGAUGGGAGUAGGUCAACUUACAAUGCCACAAAGCUCAUUGUUCUUCAUAAGGUUCACCUGUUUUUCUUGAAUAACUGCUUCCCAGAUUCACACAAGACUUUGGUUAAUUCCUAGAAUUCUGAAAGAGUUAAUCCUGACCAUUAUUGCAAGUUUUCUCAUUGCUUUUACAGAGGAAUUUUCAAAGACGCUUACUUUGCCAUUUUUCUCACUUGGCUUUAUUUUGCAUUGUCCUAAUGACUGAUGAUAUUGAAGAGCUUUUCAUAUGCUUUUUUGUCAUUCUCAUAGACUGGGGAAACAUCUGCCUAAAUCUUUUUACAUUAAAAAAUUACAUUACAUUCUUGUUAAUGAGUUUUGAAAAUUCUUUCUAUAUUUUGUAUACAAACAUAUCUCUCUACCAGAGAUAUGUUUGGCCAAUAUUUUCUCCCAGUUUGUAGCAUGUAUUUUCAGUUUUGUAACGGUAUAUUUUAUAAAGCAAUUUAUUUUUAUUUGGCUGAAGUCUAAUUUAUCAUUUUUUUUUCCUUUUAUGGUUAAUGCCUGUGUCCUGUCUAAGAAAUCCUUCCCUAACCUAAGGUCACAAGGUUUUCUUCUAGAAGUCUUAUAAUGUUAGUUUUAUGAUUAGGUUUAUGAUCCACUUUGAGUUAAUUUUUGUAUCUGGUGUGAGGUUCAUUUUUGUAAAGGUAUAUUCACUUGUUCAUGAACCAUUUAUUGAAAAGACUAUCCUGCUCCUCAUUAAAUGUCUUUCACACCUUUAUCAAAAAUCAAUUUACCAUAUGUAGUGAUUCUAUUUCUGGAUCCUCUAUUCUGUCUCAUUUUUGUGUAUGUCUAUGCUUACACCAUUAUCACACUGUUUAAUUAAAAUAGUAAGUCUUGAAAUUAUAUGGUAUAAGUCUUCUAAUUUUGUUUUUUUUUUUUUGAUAGGUGCAUAUUUAUAAAAAACUUCCCACAGUAUUCCAAAGUAGAUGUGCCAUUUUAUCCUCCAAACAGCAAUGUAUUAGAGUUCCAGUGGUUUCCAAAGCCCCUGUCAACAUUUGGAUUGUCCGUCUUUUUUGAUUUUAGCCAUCCUAAUGGCAAAAGCCAUCUCCCAUGUAACCACAUGCUUCAGGAGAAGCUGACCCUACACCUAGCUCCACUGGUGAGUCUAAUUGGUCCAAGGGUCGUCUUGGUCCCUUUGCCAGAGAUUGGCUUAUGGGGUGAAUGAUCCAACUCCAGCCAAUGAAACAUUAGGGGAAUCUGCUGAAGGAUUUCCAAAAAGAGUUUCCUCAUUCCAAACAGAAAACCAUAAGAAAGGAAUGUCAUGCCUAUAAUUGCUGCAGCUAUUUUAAUUCCAAGUAUGAGGUUGAAACAAUCAUGGAUGGCCAAGUGAAGAGAUGGAAAAAGCAGGAUUCAGGAUAACUUUAUUUUUUUGGAAGAUGACCAAAAUGCUAUCUCUAUUUGGAGAUAAUAAUUAGUCUCAUCUUCAUUGGCUUCUUCUCGAAUGCGGAGGGAAUUAUCGGAUGAGUACAUUGGAACAUGGUCGCCAUGUGGCCUGCUGCCCCCGUGUACCACUUGGAGACCAGCCUAGCAUGGAAAUGACCAGAUGUUGGAAGCUGAGCUACUGGAAUGGAAGCAGUGGCUCAACUCACAUCAGUACCCAGAUACACAGAUGCUCCGGGAUCUGAGGAAGUGACCUAUAGAAAAUGAAAAAUGACCAGGUAAAGGCAAUACGAAGGGAAGUAGAGGGGCUUAUUAGGCAGCUCUGGACAAGCAGAGAAAAGUGAUGGUUCAACACGUAGGGUGCGCCAAAAAUGGGCUUGUUUCACUGGUUAUUUGAACACAGAAGCAGGGCUGUCUCCCUCUCUCUCUCUCUUUCUCUCCAUUCAUUAAUUAUUUUUCUGAGUAGGCUAAUAAUAUAUGCUUUUUGUGAAACAUUUGAGAAAUGGAAGAAAGUAUAAGAAAAAAAUAAAAAUCACUUAUACAUGUAUCUUCUAAUAUUUCAUUAUAUCUAUACAGGCCCUUUUCUUUCUAGUUUUGUGAUCAUUUAUUCAGUCAACAUUUCCACAAAUAUUUAAUGCAUUUUGUAUGUGUCAGGCACCAUACCAGGCACUAAGAAUAUAGUCGUGAUCAAUAAUUGGCAUAAUUCCUUAUCUCAUAGAACUUUGGGUCUAGCAGAAGUGACAUAUAAACACACAACUGCAUUAAGAAUUAUUUAAUCUCAAAUUUCACAAGCUCUGCAAAGAACAAGUACUAAGUCUUCGGGAAGAAUUGGGAAGUCUGGAUGUAGGGAGUGAACCUAAAAGAAAAACUUUGAAGCUGAGACUAGACUAGUCAGAAACUGCUGGCCAGGGGUGAAUGUGUUGGUCCUAGAGGGGUAGAGUAGGGGCACGCUAGGAAUAGAAAGGAAAAUUGCUGGUGGAGGGAACAGCUUGCCUGAGGUCCUGAUGAGGAGACAGUGACUAGAUGGGGGUGAAAUGGCUUUGUGGAAAUUAGAAAGAAAAAUAGGAGCCAGAUCCUACAAGACAAGUGUUGACAAACAAUAGCCCAGAGGCCAAAUCCAGCACCCCACCUGUUUUUGUAAAUAAAAUUUUAUUGGAACAGAGCCACACCCACUCAUUUAUAUGUCUGUGGUUGUUUUCACACCAUGCUGGCAGUGAUGAAUAGUUGUUACAGAGACUGCAGGGUCCACAUAGCUUAAAAUAUUUACUAUCUGGCCCUUUCCAGAAAACUUUGCUGACCUCUGCUAUGGGGUUUUGUGGCUGAGCGUAUGGUGGAAUUCUUUUAUCACAAGUACAAUGGAAAGGCUUUGAGACGAAAGCAAGGAAGACAUCAUCAGAUUUUUCUUUAAAAGAACUCUAGCUAUGGAAGCAUGUAGAGAUUAGAACUGGGGACUCUGGGUGGAUAUUGGGCAUCUAAGAGUAUCCAGGAGACAGUGGUUGAUGGUUUGGACUCCAUUUGUGCCAAGUGGGCACAGGAAAAAAGAGACAGAUUUGAGAUCUCUUUAGCAUUUGUAUCAGACAGGACUUGGUGGCUGAUUGGGGAGGGGAAGUAAGGAUAGAGAGGUGUUCAGGAACACCCAGGUUUCUGCCUGGUGCACCUGCAUGGAUGAGGGUGUCAUCAACCAGAUGGGGAGCCAUGGAGGAGAAGCAAGAUUGAGAGGGAAAGUCAGGAGGUUUUAGUGCCUGUCUAGUUUAAUCACAAUGGGUAAUACAAUAAAUCCCCUAUUAAUGAACAUGUAGAUUUUUUCUAUUAUUUUUCUUUUUUAAAUAAUGCUGCAAUGCAGCAAAAGGAACAGUCAGCAGAGUAAAUAGACAACCCACAGAGUGGGAGAAAUCUUCACAAUCUAUACAUCUGGCAAAGAACUAAUAUCCAGAAUCUACAGCGAACUCAAACAAAUCAGUAAGAAAAAAUAAACAAUCCCAUCAAAAAGUGGGCUAAGCACAUGAGUAGACAAUUCUCGAAAGAAGACAUACAAAUGGCCAACAAACAUAUGAAAAAAAUGCUCAAAAUCACUAAUGAUCAGGGAAAUGCAAAUCAAAACCACAAUGCAAUACAACCUUACUCCUGCAAGAAUGACCAUAAUAAAAAAAUAAAAAAAAUUAGAUGUUGGACUGGAGGCAGUGAACAGGGAACACUUCUACACUCCUGGUGGGAAUGUUAACUAGUACAGCCAGUAUGGAAAACACUGCGGAGAUUCCUUAAAGAACUGAAAGUAGAACUACCAUUUGAUCCAGCAAUCCCACUACUGGGUAUCUACCCAGAGGAAAAGAAGUCAUUAUUUGAAAAAGACACUUGCACAGGCAUGUUUAUAGUGGCACAAUUCACAAUAGCAAAAUCGUGGAAGCAACCCAAAUGCCCAUCAGUCGACGAAUGAAUAAAGAAACUGUAUAUAUAUAUAUAUAUAUAUAUAUAUAUAUAUAUAUAUACACACACACAUAUAUAUACACACACACAUAUAUAAACAUAUAUGUAUAUACACACAUAUAUAAACAUAUAUAUACGCAUACAUAUACAUACACACACACACACACACACACACACACACACACAAUGGAAUACUAUGCAGCCAUAAAAAGGAAUGAAUUGACAGCAUUUGCAGUGACCUGGAUGACAUUGGAGACUAUUAUUCUAAGUUAAGUAACUCAGGAAUGGCAAAGCAAACAUCAUAUGUUCUCACUGUUACGUGAGAGCUAAGCUACAAGGAUGCAAAGGCAUAAGAAUGAUACAAUGGACUUUGGGGACUUGGGGGAAAGGGUGGGAGGGGAGCAAGGGAUAAGAGACUACAAAUAUAGUGUGGUGUGUACCGCUCGGGUGAUGGGUGCACCAAAAUCUCACAAAUCACCACUAAAGAACUUACUCAUGUAACCAAACACCACCUGUACCCAAAUAACUUAUGGAAAAAAUAAAAUAAAAUAAAAAUAAUGCUGUGAUGAAUUCAUUUGUGCAUAUAUCUCAUUGUUUCCUUAGACUAC